GACGAACGCUGGUGGCGUGCUUAACACAUGCAAGUCGAACGGGAUUUAGUAAACAGAAGCCUCGGUGGAAGAUUACUAAUGAGAGUGGCGAACGGGUGAGUAACGCGUGAGCAACCUGCCUAUGACAGUGGGAUAGCCUCGGGAAACCGGGAUUAAUACCGCAUAAAAUCGUAGAAACACAUGUUUUAACGGUCAAAGAUUUAUCGGUCAUAGAUGGGCUCGCGUCUGAUUAGCUAGUUGGUGAGAUAACAGCCCACCAAGGCGACGAUCAGUAGCCGGUCUGAGAGGAUGAACGGCCACAUUGGAACUGAGACACGGUCCAAGCUCCUACGGGAGGCAGCAGUGGGGAAUAUUGCACAAUGGGGGAAACCCUGAUGCAGCGACGCCGCGUGAACGAAGAAGGUAUUCGUAUCGUAAAGUUCUGUCCUAUGGGAAGAUAAUGACAGUACCAUAGAAGAAAGCUCCGGCUAAAUACGUG
rnacentral:rRNA from 1 species